GAAAAAAUUAAUUAUUAUUUUAUUAAGUAAAUUUUAUAUUAAAAAAAAUAAUUUUAUAUUUUAGUAAUUUGUGUGAAUAAAGUAUUUUAAUUAUAGUAUAUUUGUAUUGUGAAAGAUUUUAUUUAUUUUACUUUAAGAAUAGUUAAUUUUUAGUACCUUGUGUAUCAGGGCUUAUUAAUAAAAAUUUAAUAAUAUUAAAUUUCCCGAACUUAAAAGAGUUAUAAUUAUAUUAUUUUUACUGUAGAAUAAGUAUUAUAAAUAUAAUUAUUGAAGUGAAACGUUAUUCGAUUUUAAAUAUAUCUGGUUUUUAAAGAAAAAAAUUUAAUUUUUUUUUUAUUUAUUAUUAAUUUAAAUUAAUAAAUUAAUAUUAAUAAGAUUUUAUAUUUUAGGGGUUGAGCUUUAAAAUAAACUAAUAAAAAUUAUAUUAAUAAUAUUUUAGUAAGUAGGAUUAUAAGUUUUUAUCUUUGAUAGUGUGUUAUUACUAUCUAAAAUAAUAAAUAUUAUUUGUAUCUAUUUUAUAUAUUUUAUUUAAAAAUAAGUUUUAUCAAUAAAAAUUUAGUUAUAAUGAUAAAAUUAGUAUAAUUAAUUGUUUAUAAUUAAUUUUAUUUAAAGGUUUUAUAAAGGAAUUCGGCAAAUAUAUUUUUCACCUGUUUAUCAAAAACAUGGCCUUUUGAUUUUAAUUUAAGGUCUAGCCUGCCCACUGAGUUUUAAAUGGCCGCAGUACUCUGACUGUGCAAAGGUAGCAUAAUCAUUAGUUUUUUAAUUGUAAGCUGGAAUGAAAGGUUGGAUGAGAAAAUAGCUGUCUCUAUAAUAAUUUUUUAGAAUUUUAUUUUUAAGUAAGAAAGCUUAAAUAUUAAUAAAAGACGAGAAGACCCUAUAGAGUUUUAUAUUUACAUAUAUUAUUGUUUAUUUAAGUAUUUUUAAAUUUUGAUAUAUUUAUAUAUUUAGUUGGGGUGAUUGGAAAAUUAAAUAAACUUUUCUAUUUAAAUUACAUUUAUUUAUGGAAAAAUGAUCCUUUAUUUAAGAUUAAAAGAUUAAAUUACCUUAGGGAUAACAGCGUAAUUUUUUUUGAGAGUUCAUAUCGAAAAAAAAGAUUGCGACCUCGAUGUUGGAUUAAAAUAAAUUUUUGGUGUAGAAGCUAAAAUAAUUAGGUCUGUUCGACCUUUAAAAUUUUACAUGAUCUGAGUUCAAACCGGUGUAAGCC
rnacentral:rRNA from 1 species